AUUGAACGCUGGCGGCAGGCCUAACACAUGCAAGUCGAACGGUAACAGGAAGAAGCUUGCUUCUUUGCUGACGAGUGGCGGACGGGUGAGUAAUGUCUGGGAAACUGCCUGAUGGAGGGGGAUAACUACUGGAAACGGUAGCUAAUACCGCAUAACGUCGCAAGACCAAAGCGGGGGACCUUCGGGCCUCUUGCCAUCGGAUGUGCCCAGAUGGGAUUAGCUAGUAGGUGGGGUAACGGCUCACCUAGGCGACGAUCCCUAGCUGGUCUGAGAGGAUGACCAGCCACACUGGAACUGCGACACGGUCCAGACUCCUACGGGAGGCAGCAGUGGGGAAUAUUGCACAAUGGGCGCAAGCCUGAUGCAGCCAUGCCGCGUGUAUGAAGAAGGCCCUCGGGUUGUAAAGUACUUUCAGCGGGGAGGAAGGGAGUAAAGUUAAUACCUUUGCUCAUUGACGUUACCCGCAGAAGAAGCACCGGCUAACUCCGUG
rnacentral:rRNA from 1 species